GACAGAGGGUGCAAACGUUGUUCGGAAUCACUGGGCGUAAAGCGCGUGUAGGCGGCUACGCAAGUCGGGUGUGAAAGCCCUGGGCUUAACCUAGGAAGUGCACUCGAAACUGCGUAGCUCGAGUUCCGGAGAGGAUAGUGGAAUUCUCGGUGUAGAGGUGAAAUUCGUAGAUAUCGAGAGGAACACCGGUGGCGAAGGCGGCUAUCUGGACGGAAACUGACGCUGAGACGCGAAAGCGUGGGUAGCAAACAGG
rnacentral:rRNA from 1 species